UUGAAAUUGUACACUACGAUCAGCUGGUUUGCGUUCAGCUUCUUUCCCUUUCCUGUGCAUAACACCCUGAGGCUAAUCGAUGUAGCAACAAAAAUUAAAUCCAUUAACCUCAGCAAAGUAAUUUUUCAUGCCGAAAUCUUAAAUAUUAGGUAUAUAUUAUGACAUUUAUUUGACAACAGCAUGAAACAUUGUUAAAGAAAUGUAUUAACACAGAAAUAAUUCCGCCAAGACGGUUUUCCGCGCGAAUUUCGGCUACUGAACGAGGCCUGUCAUUACUGUUCACCAACCCUUUGAAGACUUUAGUCUAUACGGAAGAGCAAUAUUAUAAGAACACACCCUGGGCCAUGGGAAAACAGCCGGAAGCCAAGGAUUAGCCAAGAAGGUCCGACCCCCAGAUAGCUUGACCAGGUGGGCCUUGACCUGACCAUGAGGCCUGCAAGAUCGCACGUGUGCGUAUGCACAUGACAUAGAAAAUGGGAUGAAAAUUAGUAGUGAGAGACGAGGCAGACCUCUGGAACAAGCAGAGACGCUUUUGGGACUAAUGGAGAAACAUCUCUCCAACAGUUCCUUUCCCCCCAACCCUUUCCGCCUGCCUCCAUCCAGGAGCCAUUGCUGCGUACCCCAUGGUCGAAUCCAAGUAUACUUUACAGUGUUCCCUACCUCAUCUAGGCCUCCAACCAAACCUACUUCCGACGCCAAGCCAUCCCAACGACCAGUUACAGAGAGACCUUUAGCUGUGGAAUUCUCUCGCGGCCUCACCUUGAUUGAAGCUGCCUUCCCCAUGUCCCGGUACCUGAUUAUUACCCAGGAUCUGCUACGUCUUAGUAUUCAGUUUUAUCUUCUGAUCG